GUUGUGUUUCAUGUUGUAACUAAUGGGUUGAAAUAUUGUUUUUUCAAAUUUUUGCGAAAAAAAGUGUUUUUUUGAAACCUCAAAAAAUGCAAAAAAACAUUUUUUUAUUUUUGUCUCAAAUCAAUGCUUUGGAUAUGAAAACAACACACAGUAAAUUUGGAACAUUUCGGAUUAGUUUUAAGAUUGUGACCGCUUUUUGAAUAUCACUUUACACAUACUGUCUAUGGUAAAUCAGUUGAUAAUGUAUACAUUUUAACGGUUUCUCGUGGGGCCGAACUUUGGUAAACAAAUAAACGAAGAAACUGUAUGAUUUUUAAAAACAAAUUGAUGGCAAACAUUGUCUUUACCUUUAAAUGAGAGGUUGGCAUCAUUAGUUGAAACUUCUGUUUUUCAAAUUGUCG
rnacentral:lncRNA from 1 species